rnacentral:rRNA from 1 species
UACGUAGGGUGCAAGCGUUUGUCCGGAAUUAUUGGGCGUAAAGAGCUCGUAGGCGGUUUGUCGCGUCUGCUGUGAAAACGCGAGGCUCAACCUCGCGCUGCAGUGGGUACGGGCAGACUAGAGUACUGCAGGGGGUGACUGGAAUUCCUGGUGUAGCGGUGGAAUGCGCAGAUAUCAGGAGGAACACCGAUGGCGAAGGCAGGUCACUGGGCCGCAACUGACGCUGAGGAGCGGAAAGCAUGGGGGAGCGAAACAGG